rnacentral:rRNA from 1 species
UACGGAGGAUGCAAGCGUUAUCCGGAAUGAUUGGGCGUAAAGCGUCCGCAGGUGGCAAUGUAAGUCUGCUGUCAAAGCGUCUGGCUCAACCAGAUAAAGGCAGUGGAAACUACAUAGCUAGAGUAAGGUAGGGGAGAUCGGAAUUCCUGGUGUAGCGGUGAAAUGCGCAGAUAUCAGGAGGAACACCGGUGGCGAAGGCGGAUCUCUGGGCCUUACCUGACGCUCAGGCGCGAAAGCUAGGGGAGCGAACAGG